rnacentral:rRNA from 1 species
GAUGAACGCUGGCGGCGUGCCUAAUACAUGCAAGUCGAGCGAACGGACGAGAAGCUUGCUUCUCUGAUGUUAGCGGCGGACGGGUGAGUAAUACGUGGAUAACCUACCUAUAAGACUGGGAUAACUUCGGGAAACCGGAGCUAAUACCGGAUAAUAUUUUGAACCGCAUGGUUCAAAAGUGAAAGACGGUCUUGCUGUCACUUAUAGAUGGAUCCGCGCUGCAUUAGCUAGUUGGUAAGGUAACGGCUUACCAAGGCAACGAUGCAUAGCCGACCUGAGAGGGUGAGCGGCCGCACUGGAACUGAGUCACGGUCCAGACUCCUACGGGAGGCAGCAGUACGGAAUCUUCCGCGAUGGGCGAAAGCCUGACGGAGCACCGCCGCGUGAGUGAUGAAGGUCUUUGGAUCGUAAAACUCUGUUAUUAGGGAAGAACAUAUGUGUAAGUAACUGUGCACAUCUUGACGGUACCUAAUCAGAAAGCCACGGCUAACUACGUG